rnacentral:rRNA from 1 species
AUUGAACGCUGGCGGCAGGCCUAACACAUGCAAGUCGAGCGAGCGGCGGACGGGUGAGUAAUGUGUGGGUAUCUUCCCGCUAGAGCGGGAUACAUCCUCUAAAAGGUAGCUAAUACCCCAUAUUCUCGUCUGUAACCAGAUUGGCUUAGCUAGUAGGUGAGGUACUGGCUCAACUAGGCGACGAUCCCUAGCUGGUCUGAGAGGAUGAUCAGCCACACUGGGACUGAGACACGGCCCAGAGUCCUACGGGAGGCAGCAGUGGGGAAGAUUGAACAAUGGGCGAAAGCCGGAUGCAGCCAUGCCGCGUGUAUGAAGAAGGCCCUAGGGUUGUAAAGUACUGUCAGUAGGGAGGCGUUACCUAAAGAAGAAGCACCGGCUAACUCCGUGCCAGCCGCCGCGGUAAUAC